GUUCCUUCUUCAAGACAAGUAGAAAGCUGCCGUUGGAGACAGCCAAUUAGAAGAGCCUAUGAAGUCACCGCUGAACAGAAGUAAACAGUCCCAGUGUGAGGCAAAGCAAAGCUUCCCACAGUAGGCAAGGGGCACCACCGACCUUUGGUCUGUUUUCCACCCUGUUUGCUGUAUGAGAAACUCGGCGAUGGUAUUGGCUACUCUUAAACUUAAAUUGUCGAAACUGGUUUGCUGAGACAAAGGUCGCGGGAAAACUCAUGCACAGAAAUCAAAAGGCAAGACGGCUUUUGACAUGGAUUCUGAAGAUCUGAUCUACGGUCCUCAUUCUUCUGUGGCAAGUAGAACCACUGAAUCAUCUCCCAGCCCUCAUUAGAAAUUUAUUGACACAUCAGAGAGGGCAUCAUAGAAAGUUACUUUGGUCAGUGAUCAAUGUACAAUGAAUAUAUGCAAAUUACAAAACAACAGUAAUGACUAAAGAAUCAAGGAUCCUAAGAGCUGGAGAAAUAGCUCAGUGCUUAAGAGCUCUAUCUACUAUUUCAGAAGACAUCGGUUUAAUUCCCAGCAUCCUUACAGCAGCUCAUAAGGUACACCUUCGUUCAGAGUUAAUUCAAUGUUCUUAUUAUUCUGAUUACAAAAGAAAAAUUCCAAUCACAGGAUUCACUGUGCCUUUAUUCCUGAAUGGAUUCACCAGAUUAUGCCACUGUGUCCUUCACAAGGAAUUUCAAACGUGGACGGUGGUGUGGCUCUCUCGAAGCCUUAUGCUUCUUGCUGUAAGGAACACAGAAGAACAGCUUCCAGGGUAUUUGGCCAGUACCAAAUGACCAACAGUCAGAAGUGCUGAGAUGGCCCCUGCCAGGGAAAAAGGCUGGAUUGGACUUAUUAAGUGAAAAACAACUCUCUGGUUAAUAAAAUAAAUUUAUUAUAACAAA